rnacentral:misc_RNA from 1 species
GAGGUAAGCUAUGUCAGAAAUGAUAGAAUUCUUGAUAAGUAGGAUGAGGAUGCUUAGUUUCUGUCUGCUUUUUAAUCUUUUUCUAGAUGUGAUAUUGCAAUGAAAGAUUGCCCGUAUUGCUGGAUCAGUUGUAAUUGGAAUAUAUUUCAUGAUUUAGUUUAAUCAUUAGCAUUUUGAAUAAUAGUUUAUUCACAUAAGUGCUUUGGCUUGAAAAUGGUGUAGGACUUGAGACAGGUGAAGGGAA